rnacentral:rRNA from 1 species
UACGAAGGGGGCUAGCGUUGCUCGGAAUUACUGGGCGUAAAGGGCGCGUAGGCGGACAGUUUAGUCAGAGGUGAAAGCCCGGGGCUCAACUCCGGAAUUGCCUUUAAGACUGCAUCGCUAGAAUUGUGGAGAGGUAAGUGGAAUUCCGAGUGUAGAGGUGAAAUUCGUAGAUAUUCGGAAGAACACCAGUGGCGAAGGCGACUUACUGGACACAUAUUGACGCUGAGGUGCGAAAGCGUGGGGAGCAAACAGG